UAAGACAAAGAAAAAUUUAUCUAGCAUCCUUCUUAUUAUUAUACCUGACACCCCUCCAAUAUGUACAGUUUUAUCAAAGUAUCCUAAAAAUAAUCAUAUAAUUUUUUUAAAAUUUUAAGGAAACUUUAUGAUUUAACGGAUAUUUGUAUAAGUAUAUCGAAUUUUAAGGAAUAUGUGUUCCGGUACUUUAUUAGAGUUUUUACCAUAUUUAUGUUUAAC
rnacentral:lncRNA from 1 species